rnacentral:tRNA from 1 species
GCCUGGGUAGCUCAGUGAUAGAGCUCCUGACUAGAGUUGCAGGGGUCCUGGGUUUGAUUCCCAGCCCAGCCA